rnacentral:lncRNA from 1 species
GGGGGAGAGGGGUUGGGGACUCCUCCCCGGAGGGCGGCCUUUCCAGCAAGGACACCGGUGAGCAGGGGAGGGUAGACAACCGUGUCCUUCCUAGAACUCGGUGAAUUUGCUUCUUGAUCAUCAUAGUUGGUCUCCCAGAUUUAUUGCAGCAGGGAAAAACAAAAGCUCCGGCCUGACUCCGCGGGGAGAGCGGGGGAGGCGGAGGCGGGGAGGGACCGUCAUAAUUUGUCCGUUUCACAGCUCAGGACACACAAAAGACACUGAAAGAUCGGCCCACAGUCGUCCAACCGCAACAGUGGGGAGAGAGGGCCAGAUGUGAGGCCCCCCGUAUUUCCAUCUCCGGCGCCCUCACCGACAGACUGGGAUGGAGAACAGCCAACCUCAGGAGAGUCAGAAAUAACAAACAAACGGGCAAUGAAGUGCUUUACGGAUGGCGGGUGGAUGCUGAAUAACAUUAACGCAGCCGGGACGGUGAACCGACGGGAAGACUGCCGUCGCCAUGACUCCAGGCCAAAUGAAGUUCUCCUUUAUUGAGACAAUUUCUCAAAGUCUGGAACUCGCACAGAAGGACUGCG